rnacentral:rRNA from 1 species
UGUGAACUCGAAGAGUAGGGCGGGACACGUGGUAUCCUGUCUGAAUAUGGGGGGACCAUCCUCCAAGGCUAAAUACUCCUGACUGACCGAUAGUGAACCAGUACCGUGAGGGAAAGGCGAAAAGAACCCCGGCGAGGGGAGUGAAAAAGAACCUGAAACCGUGUACGUACAAGCAGUGGGAGCACCUUCGUGGUGUGACUGCGUACCUUUUGUAUAAUGGGUCAGCGACUUAUAUUCUGUAGCAAGGUUAACCGUAUAGGGGAGCCGAAGGGAAACCGAGUCUUAACUGGGCGUUAAGUUGCAGGGUAUAGACCCGAAACCCGGUGAUCUAGCCAUGGGCAGGUUGAAGGUUGGGUAACACUAACUGGAGGACCGAACCGACUAAUGUUGAAAAAUUAGCGGAUGACUUGUGGCUGGGGGUGAAAGGCCAAUCAAACCGGGAGAUAGCUGGUUCUCCCCGAAAGCUAUUUAGGUAGCGCCUCGUGAACUCAUCUUCGGGGGUAGAGCACUGUUUCGGCUAGGGGGCCAUCCCGGCUUACCAACCCGAUGCAAACUACGAAUACCGAAGAAUGUUAUCACGGGAGACACACGGCGGGUGCUAACGUCCGUCGUGAAGAGGGAAACAACCCAGACCGCCAGCUAAGGUCCCAAAGUCAUGGUUAAGUGGGAAACGAUGUGGGAAGGCACAGACAGCCAGGAUGUUGGCUUAGAAGCAGCCAUCAUUUAAAGAAAGCGUAAUAGCUCACUGGUCGAGUCGGCCUGCGCGGAAGAUGUAACGGGGCUAAACCAUGCACCGAAGCUGCGGCAGCGACGCGUAUGCGUUGUUGGGUAGGGGAGCGUUCUGUAAGCCGUUGAAGGUGUGCUGUGAGGCAUGCUGGAGGUAUCAGAAGUGCGAAUGCUGACAUAAGUAACGAUAAAGCGGGUGAAAAGCCCGCUCGCCGGAAGACCAAGGGUUCCUGUCCAACGUUAAUCGGGGCAGGGUGAGUCGACCCCUAAGGCGAGGCCGAAAGGCGUAGUCGAUGGGAAACAGGUUAAUAUUCCUGUACUUGGUGUUACUGCGAAGGGGGGACGGAGAAGGCUAUGUUAGCCGGGCGACGGUUGUCCCGGUUUAAGCAUGUAGGCGGA